rnacentral:rRNA from 1 species
AUUGAACGCUGGCGGCAUGCCUUACACAUGCAAGUCGAACGGCAGCACGGGUGCUUGCACCUGGUGGCGAGUGGCGAACGGGUGAGUAAUAUAUCGGAACGUACCUUAUUGUGGGGGAUAACGCAGCGUAAGCUGUGCUAAUACCGCAUAAUCCCUUAGGGGGAAAGCGGGGGACCGUAAGGCCUCGCGCAAUUAGAGCGGCCGAUACCUGAUUAGCUAGUUGGUGAGGUAAAGGCUCACCAAGGCGACGAUCAGUAGCUGGUCUGAGAGGACGAUCAGCCACACUGGGACUGAGACACGGCCCAGACUCCUACGGGAGGCAGCAGUGGGGAAUUUUGGACAAUGGGGGCAACCCUGAUCCAGCAAGGCCGCGUGAGUGAAGAAGGCCUUCGGGUUGUAAAGCUCUUUUGUCAGGGAAGAAACAGCAGCUCUAACACAGUAUGCGAAUGACGGUACCUGAAGAAUAAGCACCGGCUAACUACGUGCCAGCCGCCGCAGUAA